AUUAAACUCAUUGUGGCUCCUGGAGGGAAGAGGUGCAGAGGCAGUCUGGCCAGCUACAGCACAUCAGUCUGAUUCCAUCCAGUCAGAGAACAACAGCCCCAGAAAUGGGAUCUUGGGAACAAAAUCAGUCCUGCUUCUGCCACAGGGAUGGAGAAUUUGAAUUGAUUUUUGCACCUGGAGCUGUCUAGCAGAGCUUCCUCUGGGUAAGGAAGUUUUCUGCUGGCAGAAUUGUCAGAGACUUCUUCCUCAGCAUUAAAUUUUUUUGUUCAUUUCACAGAGCUACCCAAGGCAAUUUUCCCACGUACACGCUAUUCCUGCCGCUGUACUUUUCACGUCCACACAAUGGCACCUUAACCGGCUGUACAGUAUAAGCUCCAAAAUGGGAAGUCUAGUCUAAUCAGUAGCUGCGUGACUAUUAUUAUAGGAAGACAAGUAUUAAACAAUUUUGUUAAAAGUUUAAAGAUUUAUUCCUUCACCCCAUGUUGUUUCUUCAAACCCCACCUCCUAUUUUUAAAGAUAAAUGGAUAGGUUUGAGUUGUCCAGGGGUUUUCCAGGGGUAAUUCAGAGCACAUUGCAGGGAGGGCAGUCACUGAGGUAAAGCAGGACCCAAGUCAAAUUGUCUUCCCUCUUCUAGGUUAUUCAAAAAUGGAUCCAUUAACUGAAAAAAGGGGAAGAAUCUCACAGUCGAAAGGUUCAGUGCCUGCAGGUGUUCAGAUUUUUCGGUUGUUCAGUUCUACUAUAAUAUAGCCAAUGUCUGUCCAAGGCCAGGCAAAGAGCAAAGGGCUUACUCCCAGAGUGCCCUGUGUUGUACCCAUUAUACAAGGAUGAUAAGGCUGAGUUAGGUAAUAGUUAGGAUUGUGCAAGAUAGAGAGAGAUAAGCCAGUAAACCACCUCUUCCCAAAAUAAAGCAGAGAAUUAUAGAUUUUUAAUAGAAAUGUGGUCAGUUUGGUCUUUUUGUUUCUUUCUUCCUUUUUUGGGGAGGGGUCUCAGCAGGCUUAUCCUCAAGGUAAAACUCUGGCAAGUUUACAUUUGUUUUCUAUUACAUUCUGUUACGCUGGCUACUAGGAAAGCCAGUGGUGCAACAGUGUUCCACUGUGUACUGAUCAAGUACAGGUGUUGGUAACGUGACUUACUAGGUUGUGAAACGCCUGCUCCUCCUGACGUGUUUCUGGAAGGCCUUGGUUGUGUCCCCAGCACACCUGCAAGUACACAAACACAGGUAAGAGACAAGUCCUCUUCCCGUGCUUUUUCUCACUUUCUUUGAGGCAAAGUCAAAUGCUGUUGUAUAAAAUAUCUAGAUUACAUGGUCGACCUCACAGCUAAAAUGGAAACAACACUGGCAGCAUAUCUGAUGGUUGUCAUGUUUGCCCACAGUAGGGUUGUUAUAUUUGGCAAGAGAGAAGCUCUCACCUAACUCUACAACAAGGCUGCAUAUGCAGCGUGAAGAAACUGAGACUCUGGUAUAUUUUCCAGGAGUAGUGUAAAGUGUAAAAUGAAGUGUAAAAUGCAGUCUUUUCGUAGUUUAGUUUAAGACAGUUCUGAAGUUGCAACAGUUUAAUGCUAUGUCACGAAAGAGACGUUCCAUCUGCUUCAUCUACCCGACUCAUCUGUGUUUUAACUGUUAUUUUCACUGCCUAAUUGUGUCUACCCUUGUAAGUAAUUACAUUUCUUUUCUAUACAGCAGGUCAUACAGGUAGAGUAGAAAAGUAAUUACUGGAGUUGGUAGAGGGUAUUAAUUUUCUAGAGGAUGAUGUAUCUGCUGAUCUGCAUCAUAUUUUCCUUGUUGUUACUGGAAACACAUCUGCAGUUCUCAGGUGAACUCUAUGCCUUUUGUCAAUAAUUGGUGUCCUGCAGCUAUGAAAACAAGAGAUUUUAAAAGUUUGCCUGAGAGUUUUUAAUGAAUAUUUAUUAUAUGAAAAUACAAGAUACGCUGCAGUAUUUAAAAGACAGAGUUGGGUUGAUUUAGGACAAGG
ensembl:lncRNA